AGGGGACACCGAGUGUCAGCAUCAUAUGCUGGCUGUCCAGGUGUGUAAAAUACACCUGUUAGCAAGGGCCGGGCAAGACCGGUGCCAGCCGCCGCGGUAACACCGGCGGCCCGAGUGGUGAUCGUGAUUAUUGGGUCUAAAGGGUCCGUAGCCGGUUUGGUCAGUCCUCCGGGAAAUCUGAUAGCUCAACUAUUAGGCUAUCGGGGGAUACUACCAGACUUGGAACCGGGAGAGGUAAGAGGUACUACAGGGGUAGGAGUGAAAUCUUGUAAUCCCUGUGGGACCACCUGUGGCGAAGGCGUCUUACCAGAACGGGUUCGACGGUGAGGGACGAAAGCUGGGGGCACGAACCGGAUUAGAUACCCGGGUAGUCCCAGCCGUAAACGAUGCUCGCUAGGUGUCAGGCAUGGCGCGACCGUGUCUGGUGCCGCAGGGAAGCCGUGAAGCGAGCCACCUGGGAAGUACGGCCGCAAGGCUGAAACUUAAAGGAAUUGGCGGGG
rnacentral:rRNA from 1 species